GACGAACGCUGGCGGCGUGCCUAAUACAUGCAAGUCGAGCGCAGGAAACUGACGGAACUCUUCGGAGGGAAGGCAGUGGAAUGAGCGGCGGACGGGUGAGUAACACGUAAGGAACCUGCCUCAAGGAUUGGGAUAACUCCGAGAAAUCGGAGCUAAUACCGGAUAGUUCAACGGACCGCAUGGUCCGCUGAUGAAAGGCGCUCCGGCGUCACCUUGAGAUGGCCUUGCGGUGCAUUAGCUAGUUGGUGGGGUAACGGCCCACCAAGGCGACGCUGCAUAGCCGACCUGAGAGGGUGAUCGGCCACACUGGGACUGAGACACGGCCCAGACUCCUACGGGAGGCAGCAGUAGGGAAUCUUCCACAAUGGACGAAAGUCUGAUGGAGCAACGCCGCGUGAGUGAUGAAGGUUUUCGGAUCGUAAAACUCUGUUGUAAGGGAAGAACACGUACGAGAGGAAAUGCUCGUACCUUGACGGUACCUUACGAGAAAGCCACGGCUAACUACGUGCCAGCCGCCGCAGUAA
rnacentral:rRNA from 1 species